UUAAGUUAUUAAGGGCGCACGGUGGAUGCCUUGGCACUAGAAGCCGAUGAAGGACGUUACUAACGACGAUAUGCUUUGGGGAGCUGUAAGUAAGCUUUGAUCCAGAGAUUUCCGAAUGGGGAAACCCAGCAUGAGUUAUGUCAUGUUAUCGAUAUGUGAAUACAUAGCAUAUCAGAAGGCACACCCGGAGAACUGAAACAUCUUAGUACCCGGAGGAAGAGAAAGAAAAUUCGAUUCCCUUAGUAGCGGCGAGCGAAACGGGAAGAGCCCAAACCAACAAGCUUGCUUGUUGGGGUUGUAGGACACUCUAUACGGAGUUACAAAGGACGACAUUAGACGAAUCAUCUGGAAAGAUGAAUCAAAGAAGGUAAUAAUCCUGUAGUCGAAAAUGUUGUCUCUCUUGAGUGGAUCCUGAGUACGACGGAGCACGUGAAAUUCCGUCGGAAUCUGGGAGGACCAUCUCCUAAGGCUAAAUACUCUCUAGUGACCGAUAGUGAACCAGUACCGUGAGGGAAAGGUGAAAAGCACCCCGGAAGGGGAGUGAAAUAGAACCUGAAACCGUGUGCUUACAAGUAGUCAGAGCCCGUUAAUGGGUGAUGGCGUGCCUUUUGUAGAAUGAACCGGCGAGUUACGAUUUGAUGCAAGGUUAAGCAGUAAAUGUGGAGCCGUAGCGAAAGCGAGUCUGAAUAGGGCGUUUAGUAUUUGGUCGUAGACCCGAAACCAGGUGAUCUACCCUUGGUCAGGUUGAAGUUCAGGUAACACUGAAUGGAGGACCGAACCGACUUACGUUGAAAAGUGAGCGGAUGAACUGAGGGUAGCGGAGAAAUUCCAAUCGAACCUGGAGAUAGCUGGUUCUCUCCGAAAUAGCUUUAGGGCUAGCCUCAAGUGAUGAUUAUUGGAGGUAGAGCACUGUUUGGACGAGGGGCCCCUCUCGGGUUACCGAAUUCAGACAAACUCCGAAUGCCAAUUAAUUUAACUUGGGAGUCAGAACAUGGGUGAUAAGGUCCGUGUUCGAAAGGGAAACAGCCCAGACCACCAGCUAAGGUCCCAAAAUAUAUGUUAAGUGGAAAAGGAUGUGGCGUUGCCCAGACAACUAGGAUGUUGGCUUAGAAGCAGCCAUCAUUUAAAGAGUGCGUAAUAGCUCACUAGUCGAGUGACACUGCGCCGAAAAUGUACCGGGGCUAAACAUAUUACCGAAGCUGUGGAUUGUCCUUUGGACAAUGGUAGGAGAGCGUUCUAAGGGCGUUGAAGCAUGAUCGUAAGGACAUGUGGAGCGCUUAGAAGUGAGAAUGCCGGUGUGAGUAGCGAAAGACGGGUGAGAAUCCCGUCCACCGAUUGACUAAGGUUUCCAGAGGAAGGCUCGUCCGCUCUGGGUUAGUCGGGUCCUAAGCUGAGGCCGACAGGCGUAGGCGAUGGAUAACAGGUUGAUAUUCCUGUACCACCUAUAAUCGUUUUAAUCGAUGGGGGGACGCAGUAGGAUAGGCGAAGCGUGCGAUUGGAUUGCACGUCUAAGCAGUAAGGCUGAGUAUUAGGCAAAUCCGGUACUCGUUAAGGCUGAGCUGUGAUGGGGAGAAGACAUUGUGUCUUCGAGUCGUUGAUUUCACACUGCCGAGAAAAGCCUCUAGAUAGAAAAUAGGUGCCCGUACCGCAAACCGACACAGGUAGUCAAGAUGAGAAUUCUAAGGUGAGCGAGCGAACUCUCGUUAAGGAACUCGGCAAAAUGACCCCGUAACUUCGGGAGAAGGGGUGCUCUUUAGGGUUAACGCCCAGAAGAGCCGCAGUGAAUAGGCCCAAGCGACUGUUUAUCAAAAACACAGGUCUCUGCUAAACCGUAAGGUGAUGUAUAGGGGCUGACGCCUGCCCGGUGCUGGAAGGUUAAGAGGAGUGGUUAGCUUCUGCGAAGCUACGAAUCGAAGCCCCAGUAAACGGCGGCCGUAACUAUAACGGUCCUAAGGUAGCGAAAUUCCUUGUCGGGUAAGUUCCGACCCGCACGAAAGGCGUAACGAUUUGGGCACUGUCUCAACGAGAGACUCGGUGAAAUCAUAGUACCUGUGAAGAUGCAGGUUACCCGCGACAGGACGGAAAGACCCCGUGGAGCUUUACUGUAGCCUGAUAUUGAAAUUCGGCACAGCUUGUACAGGAUAGGUAGGAGCCUUUGAAACGUGAGCGCUAGCUUACGUGGAGGCGCUGGUGGGAUACUACCCUAGCUGUGUUGGCUUUCUAACCCGCACCACUUAUCGUGGUGGGAGACAGUGUCAAGCGGGCAGUUUGACUGGGGCGGUCGCCUCCUAAAAGGUAACGGAGGCGCUCAAAGGUUCCCUCAGAAUGGUUGGAAAUCAUUCAUAGAGUGUAAAGGCAUAAGGGAGCUUGACUGCGAGACCUACAAGUCGAGCAGGGUCGAAAGACGGACUUAGUGAUCCGGUGGUUCCGCAUGGAAGGGCCAUCGCUCAACGGAUAAAAGCUACCCCGGGGAUAACAGGCUUAUCUCCCCCAAGAGUUCACAUCGACGGGGAGGUUUGGCACCUCGAUGUCGGCUCAUCGCAUCCUGGGGCUGUAGUCGGUCCCAAGGGUUGGGCUGUUCGCCCAUUAAAGCGGUACGCGAGCUGGGUUCAGAACGUCGUGAGACAGUUCGGUCCCUAUCCGUCGUGGGCGUAGGAAAUUUGAGAGGAGCUGUCCUUAGUACGAGAGGACCGGGAUGGACAUACCUCUGGUGUACCAGUUGUCGUGCCAACGGCAUAGCUGGGUAGCUAUGUGUGGACGGGAUAAGUGCUGAAAGCAUCUAAGCAUGAAGCCCCCCUC
rnacentral:rRNA from 1 species